rnacentral:lncRNA from 1 species
UUUGUGUCCGGAGAAUUUGAUGUGGUCAAAGUUACAAGAUCAGUAUUUGAGUCUAUCUCAAAAAAAAAAAAAAUGCAAGCUGAUGGAACUAGAAUUGCUACAAUCCACACUAACUCCGAGAAAAAAUGUUUUUGUGCUAUUGGAUGAUUUUUGGAGUGAAAAAAAGAAGAUUGGGACAAGUUCUAUGCACCUUUUUAAGGUAGGAUGUAAAUUAAUAAUUACUAUUCGGAGUUCAAAGUUGCAUCAGUUGGUUGCAAAAAUAUUUAUCUUCCAUCUUUUUGUGACAAUGAUUGCUGAAAAAUAAUGAGACGGAGGUAAUUCUUCAACAACAUAUUGGACAAUUGGAAGAACUGGGUUUUGAGAUAGCAAAAACAUAUUCUACUGUGGGAAUCAAUCUAAAAAACUUGCACAAUAAAACAAGCUGUGGGCGAUGCAAUCCAAAUCAAAUUCAUCAAGAUUCAAGAUCAAGAUCGCAAUAUUCAAGAACAAGCUCAAAAGCUCUUGAAUUCAAGCACAAGUUAGGAUCAAGUCCCUCAAAUCAACAAAUCAAGUUUAAAUUCAAGAUCAAGCUUUAAGCCCUGAAUUUAUAUUUGAAAAGGCGAAUCAGAGGAUUCACAGAGAUUGUAACACUCGCAUUAAAAUCAAUAAAUUGAUUGUUGCAAUAUAUUUUUCUUGCCUCAAAUUAUUUAUUUUCGGUGUCAAAGAUUUUUAUUGUAACACAAGCGUGGUCCAAUUUUGUUGUUUAGCUAUUAUUCACACCCUCCACAUUUAAAUAAAUGUUUUACCUAUUAUUCUUUAUUUUCCAACUGGUCAUGUAUUUGAAAUGGAUAGAUUGGUCUGUUAAAAGAGUGUUCAGUAUCAUAAUCUCACCACAUGAACUCACCUCAUGGCACAGGUAGUUUCUUUGAGUAUAUG